AACGUAGGACACAAGCGUUAUCCGGAAUUACUGGGCGUAAAGGGCGUGCAGGCGGUUGGGUAAGUUAGGCGUGAAAGACUUCGGCUAAACCGGGGGAGGUCGUCUGAUACUGCUCAACUUGAGUAUGGUAGAGGCGUGUAGAAUUCCGGGUGUAGUGGUGAAAUGCGUAGAGAUCCGGAGGAAUACCAGUGGCGAAGGCGGCACGCUGGGCCAUAACUGACGCUAAGACGCGAAAGCAUGGGUAGCGAACAGG
rnacentral:rRNA from 1 species